rnacentral:lncRNA from 1 species
CAUAUAGUGGAGCGUAUGGUUUAGUUAGUUAUUUAAGGCUUUCCUUUCUAAUUGAAUGUGUACCUUGGACAGUUUUUUGGAUAUUUUUGUCGUUUAUUAAUUAUUGACGUAAUCUUCUUCCUUUUUAAACAUUUAAAAACAGAAAUAACAUGUCAGUGGCGAAUACAUUGACGAUCAAUGUUUUUAAAUGGAGACGUAUGGACUGGUUGGAACACCCAUUUUUCCUAUUGUAUGACCCCCCCCCCC